rnacentral:rRNA from 1 species
CAUUAGUGAAUACAAACGCUUGGGUGUCUCUGCUUCGGCAAGCCCCUCGCACCCUUCACAUCCAUAACACCUGUGCACUGUAAGAUGACUCUAGGGCUUCGGCCUCUGGGUUGUCUGACCUUUUUACAAACUAUUAUAUGUAACAAAUGUAGUCUUAUUAUAGCAAAAUAAAACUUUCAACAACGGAUCUCUUGGCUCACACAUCGAUGAAGAACGCAGCGAAACGCGAUAGGUAAUGUGAAUUGCAGAAUUCAGUGAAUCAUCGAAUCUUUGAACGCAUCUUGCGCUUGCUGGUAUUCCGGCAAGCAUGCCUGUUUGAGUGUCUUGAAAUCAUCAACCCCUUCGGUUUUGCGACUGAUGCGGGUUGGACUUGGGGGUUUGCUGCUGAAAGGCGGCUCCCCUUAAAUGUUUCGGUCGGGCCUGUAGGUCGACUUUGAUUGGGCGUUGUAUUAUCCUCGCUCCUGAAAGUCUCCUCUUUCGUGCCCUUCCACGACCUGCCUAUGGAGUGGCGGUCAAACUUUUCUGACAUCUGACCUCAAAUCAGGUAGGACUACCC